GUCUUUUUGAUUAUAAUUUAAAGUCUGACCUGCCCAAUGAGGAAUUGAAUGGCCGCGGUAAUUUGACCGUGCAAAGGUAGCAUAAUCAUUAGUUUUUUAAUUGAAAGCUGGAAUGAACGGUUGGACGAGAAAAUAGCUGUCUCAAUUUAAUUGAAUAUAGAAUUUUAUCUAUAAGUAAAAAAGCUUAUAUGAUUUUAAAAGACGAGAAGACCCUAUAGAGUUUUAUAUUUUACUAUAUUGAUUAAGUUUAGUAUGUUUAUAUUUUUUAUAUAGUAAAGUAUUUUGCUGGGGCAGCAGAGAAAUUCAAUGAACUUUUUUUAUUACUAUUACAUUAGUUUAUGGUUAAAUGAUCCAUUUUUUAUGAUUACAAGAUUAAAUUACCUUAGGGAUAACAGCGUAAUUUUUUUUUAGAGUUCUUAUCGAAAAAAGAGUUUGCGACCUCGAUGUUGGAUUAAAAUUAACUUUUGGUGUAGGGGCUAAAAGGUUAGGUCUGUUCGACCUUUAAAAUUUUACA
rnacentral:rRNA from 1 species